rnacentral:lncRNA from 1 species
CCUCUCGGGCCUCUCCCACUGCGCUCCAGGCCCUGCGUCCUCUCACCGGCUUCUCCGGUGGCCGCCUUUCUUUUUCUUCUUCUUCUUGGGAGGGGGCGACGCCGAGCUGCUGGACCAGUGCUUGGUCCUGGGCGAGAAGAGGCGCGGACGCAGCAACUCCCCUAAGGCAAGAGCGGCCGGGCUUUGAAGCCUCAGACCAAUCUUCAUCAGGCGCUGUCCUCGAGUGAGCCGGCGCUAAGUGAUCUGGGGCUGCCACACCUCUCUCUGACCUCUCCUCCCAAAUGAGUGAUAACAGUUACAGGACGCC